rnacentral:rRNA from 1 species
GACGAACGCUGGCGGCGUGCUUAACACAUGCAAGUCGAACGGAAAGGCCCUGCUUUUGUGGGGUGCUCGAGUGGCGAACGGGUGAGUAACACGUGAGUAACCUGCCCUUGACUUUGGGAUAACUUCAGGAAACUGGGGCUAAUACCGGAUAGGAGCUCCUGCUGCAUGGUGGGGGUUGGAAAGUUUCGGCGGUUGGGGAUGGACUCGCGGCUUAUCAGCUUGUUUGUGGGGUAGUGGCUUACCAAGGCUUUGACGGGUAGCCGGCCUGAGAGGGUGACCGGCCACAUUGGGACUGAGAUACGGCCCAGACUGCUACGGGAGGCAGCAGUGGGGAAUAUUGCACAAUGGGCGGAAGCCUGAUGCAGCAACGCCGCGUGCGGGAUGACGGCCUUCGGGUUGUAAACCGCUUUCGCCUGUGACGAAGCGUGAGUGACGGUAAUGGGUAAAGAAGCACCGGCUAACUACGUG